rnacentral:rRNA from 1 species
UAGGGAAUCUUCGGCAAUGGACGAAAGUCUGACCGAGCAACGCCGCGUGAGUGAAGAAGGUUUCGGAUCGUAAACUCUGUUGUUAAAGAAGAACACGUAUGAGAGUAACUGUUCAUACGUUGACGGUAUUUAACCAGAAAGUCACGGCUAACUACGUGCCAG